UUUUAGUGGGAUUUGACCAAU
rnacentral:piRNA from 1 species